rnacentral:lncRNA from 1 species
GGGGAAGUUAUUUCUUCUUCAUGUUUGAAGGGAGAGGCACUUCACCUUCUGGUAACCAACACCACAGGCUUAUGGGGAUUACUGCAAGUUUUCUCAAGAGGGAUUUGCAGAGACAGGAUGCUAUGAAAUUACCUCUCCCAUGCCCUCCACAGUACUAAGACUGAGGUACCUGUCUACAUCAAAAGAUGAGUACUACAAUGCAGAUGACUUAGCCAGUUGGCUGACUAGGGAUGUUGGAUGCCAGGUCUCCUCAGAAAGAUCAAAGUUACAGGUGAAUGCCCAUGAUUUAAAUGGAAAUCUGAGGGAAUGAAGCAAGGACCUGUUGGAGCACCCAUGGGAAGAACCUGGGGCACAAAAGAGGAAAGCAGCAAGAGACUGACAGAGAUUGUCUCCCUAGAAACCUGGACCACGAAAAGGGUGGAGAGGAGAAAACUCUGUGCUAAAUAUUACUCCUGGAAAAGUGCAUUUGCUUCGGAGAAAUCUUUAUCAUGGGUCUCUAAGAGGAAGGAACAAUAGCAUCUUCUAUGUGCCGAGGUAGCGCAAUAAUGAACUCUGUUCAAGUGGAUCAAAAGCCAUCAAGGUCAAAAUUAGGCACAGGAUAUGGAUGUUACUUUUUCUCCAAGCAUAGGGAAAGUGCCUCUGAAAUAAAGAUUUUAUGACUUGCUUCAGGAAAGAAGAGCAAGAGGAAGGUGACGGUGAUCUUCCUGAAUCUGCUGUUUUCUCAAAUGCCCAGGUACCAUAUUUUGGUGUAACGUCCCCAUCACAUCAUUGUCACCAGUUUUGGGAUAUUACAAAUAAGAUUUGUAAUGAAUAUUCAUAAGCAGAUUUUUUUUUUUUUUUUGAGACGGACUUUCGCUCUUGUUGCCCAGGCUGAAGUGCAAUGGCACGAUCUCGGCUCACUGCAACCUCUGCCUCCCAGGUUUAAUUGAUUCUCCUGCCUCUGCCUCCUGAGUAGCUGGGAUUAAAGGUAUGUGCACACACACCCAGCUAAUUUUGUAUUUUUAGUGGAGAUGGGGUUUCACCAUUUGGUCAGGCUGGUCUUGAACUCCUAACUGCAGGUGAUCCAUCCGCCUGGGCCUACCAAAGUGCUGGGAUUACAGCCAUGAGCCACUGCGCCUGGCCACAUGAGCAGAAUUUUGUGUGGAAAUAAGUUUUCAUUUCUUUGAGAUCAGUUAUGUAUUUGUUCUGUUUCUUUUUCCAACUUUUUAAAAAAUUUCAGCUGGAAUAACUUUUAACUAAUUGUCUUCAAAUUCAAUGAUUCUUUUCUCUGCUGUGUUCAAUUUGCUGAUAACCCACUGAGGACAUUCUCAUUUCUUACACAUAUGUAUGCGUGUGUGUAUGUUUGUGUGUGUGCGUGCAUGCGUUUUCAUUAAUCUCAUUUUUAUAGUUUCCAUUUCUGUGUAUUAUAAUAUUCUAUCUCUGGUUAUGCAUAUUUGAUACCUUUUCCACUAGAUUCUUUAUAAUGCAAAAGUUAUUUAUAAAUAUUUUUUUCCCUAGUAAUUCCAACAUUUGGGCCCUUUAUGUAUCUUCUUCUUUUGAUAUCUAUUGAAUGUGGAUGAUUUAUAUUCAUGGUGUGUAUGUGUGUAUACAUUUCUUUAUUGGAUUACAGACAUAUUAUGUAUAUAAACAAUAAAAAUUGAGAUAAAUAAUCUUUGUGCCCAGUAAUAGACAUGCCUUUUCUUUUUUAAAUUGUUAAAGGUUAUGUCAAAAAGACUCAGGUGUCAUAUUGAAGAGGCUGCCACUGGGCAAACAUGAUACAAUUUGAGCUCCAAAAGUGGUAAUAUGUAAGACUAAAUUAAAUUCAUCAAAUAUGUUUAAAGUCAUAAUUUCUUAAUAAUAAUAAUUAGACAAUUUUAGGAAAAUAAUAGGGAAGCAAAUCAUUAUCCUUAAAAUAAGAUAUAAAAGGAAAAGAUUUAUCCUGUCCUUCCAAAGGAGUUAUAUUACUAUGAAACCAAAUAGUAGUUGCUAUGGUCUGAAUACUCAUGUCUCCCCAAAAUCUCUGUUUUGAAAUCCUCACUCCCAAGUUGGAUGGUUUCAGGAGGUGGAGCCUUUGGGCAAUGAUUAAGUAAUAGGUUGGGCCCCUCGUGAGUAAGAUUCAUGCCCUUAUAAGAGGUCUGAGAGACAUUCCUCAUCCCUUCCACCAUGUAAGGACACAGAAACAAGGCACUGUCUAUGAGCCAGGAAUUGGGCUCUGACCAGACACUGAAUCUGCCUUGGCCAUGGACAUUCCAGCUUCCAGAAGUAAGAGAAAUAAAUUUCUAGUUUGUGGUUAUUUGUUAUAGUGGCCCAAGUGGACUCAGGCAGUAAUUGAACCGUGUUUUUACCUUUAAUUUGGCUAUUGCCAUUUGCUACUCACUAGGCAGCAGCAAUUGAUUUAGUCAUGGAAGGUCAACCACUGAUUAUACCACAAGACGUGCUUCUUGAUAAAACAAGACAAUACCUAUAGUCUUGCCAAAGGAAUUGAAAAUGAAUCUGAGGAAAACUCUGGGGCCAACUGGCAAUUUGCAAAAAGUAUAAAUGACAGAGGAACAUCCUGAAAUGAGUAUGCAAUCAGCAAAAUCCAGACUGCAGAAAAACCUAAAUGUCAAACAUCACAUGAUUUUCAACAAAUAAGUUACAAGGAAAUAAAAAGGACAGAAGGGAAUCUGUAAAUUAGAAAAGACUGAAACAUAAAAUUAAAAUAAAGUUGGCAAGACUAAACUGUUAUUUGGGAAGCACACCUGGAGGAUAAAACGUUGAUAAUAUGAAAGGAAAUGACUAAUAUAAGAGUCAGGAUGCUGGCUAAUCUUGAGGGAAAGGGUGGUUUUGAGACUGAAUCUGAGCCCAUGAGGAGCCUCUACUGUUUGUGGCUUUGUUAUAUUUCUUGGAUUUUGUAGUUUUUACCUUAUUAAAAUUUAUAAGAAUUUACUAAGCCAUGUGACUGCUGUUUACAGUUUUCUUCCAUCUGUAUUCUAUUUUACAUUUAAAGAGGCUUUUUAAAAAGACAGAGAAGAUCAUUUUACAUAUUAAUCCUUAAUAAUUCAGAAGGGCACAAUGAAACUGCACUGAGAUACUAAUAGAAAAUAAAAACAAACACGUUUUUCUUUUUCUUUUUUUUUGAGACCGAGUCUCACUCUGUCGCCCAGGCUGGAGUGCAGUGGCAUGAUCUCGGUUCACUGCAACCUCCGCCUCCUGGGUUCAAGCAAUUCUCCUGCCUCAGCCUCCUGAGUAGCUGGGAUUACAGGUAGGUGCCACCAUGCCUGGCUAAUUUUUGUAUUUUUAUAGAUAACACGGUUUCACCAUGCUGGCCAGGCUGGUCUCAAACUACUGACCUCAGUUGACCCUCCCGCUUCAGCCUCCCAAAGUGGUGUAAUUACUGGUGUGAGCCAUCGCUCCUGGCCUACAUUUUUCUUUAUGUGAAAAGAAUCAAAGAACAUCAAUGUACUCUUUCUUGUUAAUAGUUUCCAAAAAGUCAUUUAUUUGAUGACUGGGUAGAUCCCAUUAUUUAAUUAUUUUGAAAAGUACAUAUUUUAUUUUAUUCAUGAGUCAUGGUCAUUUUAAGAGUUUGGAUUUCACCUGAACAGAAUUGUGGUUUAUUUUAACAUUCAAUGAAAUAAUAGAUCAAUUCAACAAACUACACAUUUCACACUUGCUUUGAGAUAAAUUGACCUUCACCGAAUUAGCUUCUCUUCACAAGGUAACCUAUAUAAAAAAUGCCAAUUUGCAUGAAGACCUUUUAAAAGACAGCAGGGGUUCAGUACAAGCUACUGAGAGUUUUCUUGUUCUCUAACAGAAAUUCACUCAAGAAUAAUGAAAAGUGACUUUUUCAUGCACCUUCCUUUAUUUUCGUGCCUGAAAUCACAGAUUGUACACAAAGGGAAUGUGCUAAGCUGAACAUAGGACUGCUUUCUCUCUAAUCACUUGCCUUAUUAGUUGGUCAUUGACUGUGAAAAAAGAAAGCCUUCCAGUUUUAUGAGAUAGAACUUAAAUGGUCCUUUGGAGAUUGUGAACUUCACAUCCUUAGAGGAAAUGUCAGGAAAAUUGAAGUCCUCAUGGUUUGGCUGAAUAUUCUUCCUGGAACUUUUUGAAACAAGAACUCAGUGUGCAACAGUUAAAUUGGAUAACUUUUUCACAGCGCGUAUCCCAAAACCCUGGGACCCUAGGUUACAUGCCAUUUCCACAUCUCCUCUUUUCCCACUACUUUGUUAUUUACUGAUUGGGUAGAGAAAAUGAGACUGUUUAUUAAAAUUCACACAUACAUAGAGACUUUAUUUAAACAUAGGUGUGUGUAAUUUUCAAUCAAAAUGGUGUCUAGUGUUUUGCUUUGUUCCCAGUACAAUAAAUUAUGUAUAUUUAAUAAUUUUAAAAAAUAAAACCAAUGAUGGAUACUCUUAAGGUUUAGGUUAAGAUUCCAAAUGCUACUAAUCAAGGUUUGAAACAGACAGUUCCUUUAAAGGGAUAAACAGGCAACUCAUGUAAAACAUACGCUAACUGGAGUAACAUAGGCUCUGACAAUUAACUAAAUAAAGAAAAUGGCAUCAUGGAGGGUAGAUGUUCAGAAUCCAGAAGCAAAUUUGGAGAAAUAUUAUUGUGAUAUAUAAGAAUGCAGAAAAAAAAUUCAGGAAAUGCAAAAAUGAUCUGUAAAAUGGUAAAUGUUUUAAAGAAAUUAUACCAUAUGCAUGGAACAUUUUAAUGACUUGUAGAUAUCUCCUCAUAUGCAAGGUAUCAUUCUGGUUGCUAUUUGCUAAGUGGCAAGAGAUAGCACCCUCUCAGUGGAAGAGUAGGGAAAGGGGAGUCACUGUAUUCUCACUUCUCAUGUACACCAGCUAACUAAUUUUGGAGCAACUGACAAAAUAUUAUCAAGCUGCAAUGUUAAAGAAAAAAGAGAUCCCAUUUGUCAAUUUUGUCUUUUGUUGCCAUUGCUUUUGGUGUUUUAGACAUGAAGUCCUUGCCCAUGCCUAUGUCCUGAAUGGUAUUGCCUAGGUUUUCUUCUAGGGUUUUUAUGGUUUUAGGUCUGACGUUUAAGUCUUUAAUCCAUCUUGAAUUGAUUUUUGUAUAAGGUGUAAAGAGCUUCUGUACAGCAAAAGAAACUACCAUCAGAAUGAACAGGCAACCUACAAAAUGGGAGAAAAUUUUUGCAACCUACUCAUCUGACAAAGGGCU